rnacentral:rRNA from 1 species
CACGUAGGGGCCAAGCGUUGUCCGGAUUUAUUGGGCGUAAAGAGCGCGCAGGCGGUCGUUCAAGUCGCGUGUGAAAGCCCCCGGCUCAACUGGGGAGGGUCACGCGAUACUGAUCGACUCGAAGGCAGGAGAGGGUAGUGGAAUUCCCGGUGUAGUGGUGAAAUGCGUAGAUAUCGGGAGGAACACCAGUGGCGAAGGCGACUACCUGGCCUGUUCUUGACGCUGAGGCGCGAAAGCUAGGGGAGCAAACGGG